UCCGCUAUUCAACCUGCUAACCGUAGGGUUGGCGGUUCGAUUCCCACCCCACACGACUCCACAUGCCGAAGUGUCCUUGGGCAAGACGCUGAAGCUAGCGCCUUGCAUGGCACAUCUGCUACCAUUGGUGUGUGAAUGGGUAAAUGAGAACCAGUGUAAAGCGCUUUGGAACUGCUAAGGUUAAAAAAAGAGCGCUAUAUAAGCGCAGACCAUUUACUAACAUUUCAUUUUGUGCUGGAAAACUAAUGUUUGGAAAUCUCAAAUGUUUUUGUACUGACUCGAUAAUGUAGAAGUCAUAAGAUAAAAAAAAAUCCAUAACAAAGUUUGUGCUAAAAAAAAAAAAGUAGGGUGCCUAAAACUUUUGCACAAUACUGUAAAUGAUGUUCACAUAUAAAGUAACCCCCCCCCCCCCCCCCAUUCGGCAACUAAAUGGGCCCGGAGGCGCUGCUGUUUUUCCCAGCGCAAUAUGUUUAUGUUUCAGUUUUUUUCUCAUGCCCGUUACGUUUCUCUUUUAAGUUUUUCCCCCGUUCCCUUAUGUUCGUCUGUUUUCAUUUUCCCUGUUAUAAAAACCUCAUCGGCUCCCUAAGGCAUGAUCAUUUUGGUCAUCAACGCGUGAAGACCUUGACUUUUUUCUUCAAUCUCCCGUUCCUGUUCACUAUGGGUGAGUGCAUACAUUUGACUUGCUUUCUGCAAUCAUUGCUAUUGUCUUCUUCUUAUCAUUAUUUAUGAUAAACAUCUAUUCCUUAUAUUUGAUCCUGUGUGUGCGUGUGUGUUGUAGCACUUCAUGUAAUGCCUAACUUUAGUGUGGCUUCCUCUGUGUGUGGGAGAGUGUACCCUGACUUCUUCUUAGGAGAAAUAACACAGCAGAACUCACGAAGACUGGAUUCGGAUGAAGAAGGUUUAUCAGCAAGACAGAAAAUAACCCGAACUGGUCCCAGGGAUACACACUACAUGGAGAUGUAGCUUGCAGCAAAGCACCGUCGGUUACAAUGCUCUUUAUAUACAUUUCAGGCAUGGCACCAUAUCUAACUUUAACCAAUCAUUCACAGUUCCCUUUUGGGUGCAUCCAAUCACAAUCUUCCACACAUAACCUAGUUACAUCAUUUCCCAUUACUUCUAACAGGCCCCAAGUUUUUCCAAUUAAUGCAUCUGUAGAUGAACCAUUGUGUUUCUCUUGGUUUACUUUUCCCUCCAGUGAACGUCACUAUUUGCCUAUAUGUUCUCUACCAUUUUGCUUAAUCUUUACUUACCCUCGAUGCCUUCUACCAAGGACGAGUUUUACAUUCUCCCACUGUGUCUGAAUUAUGUCUUUCAGUCCUCGGUCAGCCUUACAGCCUUUUAUUUCUCUUAACUCUUAUUUCUGUGCUGCUAUGAGCUAGGAAGUGCGGUUUACCACAGAGUAUCCAGGUGCCUGGAGAGUCUAAAUGAACAUACACACUGACACACAUGCUGUUCACAGAGACUUCCAGUUUAUGUAGUCUAGAACAGAAGUAUUUAUACACAUAGAUAACAACAUUGCGUGGGCGGGUUUCUACUUGUGCAGGUGCUAGAAGGAUGUAGACAAAACACACAGCACACUACAAUAAUAAGUCUUUUCAAGAUAUAGAGAACACAUGUGUCAGCUAUAAUAAAGGAUAGCAGUUGAUCAGCUUAUUCAGAAGAGGUAAUUAAGUGAAUACAUUCAUCAUAGGUAUUUGAUAGCACAGAGACACACAAACAGAAACUAUAACACAGAAUUCCCCGUAUCUAAGGUGUCUUAAUAGCAGUUCAUAAUAUAAGAGAAUACAUGAUAUAAGAGAAUUCCCUUCAGUGCCUGUACCAUGGGUGAGUGAUUUGUCCACAUCAGCUAUUCCUAUACAGUGUACUCUCAUGUUUGCUCUAUGUGCUUUGAUUUUUAGGCUUGCAUUUUUAACAGCCUUCAUGUUUCUGCUUCUGUGACUAGAUGUAAGGUCAAAGAUCAUCAACCCUGGUUGAUGUCAGAUGAGGUUUCAAUUCUUUAUAUUUUAUUACUCUAAAUUUCUACAUAAUUUCCUACAGGUGCUUCUACUCAAACAGAGACAGCAUCGUUUUUUUUUCGUCUGGGGAUCCUUCUGAUGAAGACAUGGCUAUUUCUGGGGUUGACCUUGGCUUUAGCCCUGAUUCUGAUUCUCUCAGUCCCACGCUGUAUUCCCAGAGCAGCCUGGAAUAUUCGCCGGCCUCUCCACCACACUCUCAGUCAGUACGUUUACAUGGACAACAAUAAUCCGAUAUUAACCCAAUUAAGACAAUACUCUGAUUAAGAAACUAGCAUGUAAACAGCGAUUUUUAAUUACCUUAAUCCGAUUAAGGUCAUACCUGAAGUAAACACAAAUGGAAUUAAGACGUGUGGAGUACUCCUGUUUUAGUCGCAUUAUCGACGUGAGUUACAGACAUGUAAACACCUUAAUCACACUAUUAACGUCGUGUGGGAGUUUUCAUCGCAUUUUGCGACAGGACACGUACACACACGGCAGCGCUCAACCGUUUGACGGCAAACAAGAGAGCGCUUAGCUACUAUAGGCCAAUAGUAGGCGAAAUACAUGCAUCUUGGCUACUACAUAGAAGGUAAGUACGCGGUUUGGGACACAGCCCACGGCUUCAAGCAGUCGUCUAUUUGCAUGUACAGCAUGACAAAUAAUUAACUGCACUUGAAGCGUUCGUAAUUUUUAAAAAAAAUAAAAACACCCAAAACUGUAUACGGUACCAUAACAAAGACGAACUGUAUGUCGAUUCGUGAGAUUCUGGACGGGACGUCGGACUGCGUGGCGUGGUGACGUAAUGACGUGUACUGUUAAUCGAACUACGUUCUAUAACAUGUAAAACAGGAACAUGAAAGUAUUCUAAAAGCGACUCAUGUAAACAAUCAGAAUACUGUCUUAUUCAGAAUAAGGUCAAUAACUAGAUAACUGCUGUCCAUGUCAAUGUAGUCAGUAUCCUCUAUUUUCAUAUUCCCCUGACUAUUAUCCCACGAGCCCCGUUUCUUAACCUAGGUCAACCCUUUUCUCAAUAAACCUUUAUAUUUGCCCAUGCUUGUUUCCCAUCAUAAAUUUUAUCCAACACGUACCAUGGAGAAAUUAAAUAUAAUUUGUCACAUUCCAUGGCACAAGGUAGCUGCCAAAGAAUCUCCUUCUGAAAUACUUCGUAUUUGUUUGAAUACAAACAAAUAUUUUUUUUUUCCAUAAUGUUACAGUUGGAAUUUUUGUAUCAGAAAACAAUACUCAGUAUGUCAUUUGUGAUUUAUUUUUAUGUUCUUGUUAAAACGUGUCAGUAAUAAAUAUAACAUGAUAGUAAGAACUGAACUGUCACUUCAUUUAUCAAGUUCUUCCACCACGAAAAACCUGGGCUGGUCUUGGGCAUUAAACUCGGAUUUUGUCCCACUCCUGUGUUAUUGCAUUAUAUUUCACAUUAUUACAUUCAUACUAACUGUUACAUCUGAACAGUUUGUGUUGCGGUGCUACGCACCAACAGUUACGUGAUUCUUCUUCUCUGUGGUCAAAGACGACAGGCCGAUCAGCUGAAUAGUGGGCUGCGCCACCUAGUGUGCAGGCAUAAAAUGCAUUCUCUCUCAGCGACACCUAUCGUACGGGCGUGAAUUAGCUGACGACGAUCAAUCGUUUUUGCGUUCUGUGUGAAAACACCGUUCCUCAGUGUGAAAGGACCUUUAGGUUUUACAUUUACAUCACACUGGGCACCAGGGCCACUGAGUACCUUGAGUACACUUAGAUAAGCAGAGAGUGGAGGACUUUGAGUCCCAUGUUCAGAAUAAACAGGAGGUCUGGGCAAAUGCAUUACCCACCUUGGGAAGUUCAGGGUUGGAGGUAUCUGACCAUGAAACAGAGUAAACAUAGGGGUCCAAAGGUACACAGUAUAGCGCAGAUAAUGUUAGAAUGUUCACCCACCCAUGGUGGAAGUCUCAAGAGUAAAUAAAGAGGAGAUGGUAAUGGGGUCGCGUUAUAGACUCCUCAUUGUAAUGACGUAAACGAUGACGUAGAAAGCAAACCAAUGUGAAGAUAAUGGAAAAGUCUGAGCAGUGCUAAGUGGACAAACCUAAGACCUCCUUUCAAUGAUGGGAACUUACGCAGCUGGGAUAGAUUUGGAGGACUGUGAUUGGAUAGAGGCAGAUAAGAUGAACAUGCAUGAAAUGUAUAAGGAUAUUGUAACCAGUGGAUCCUUGGUGCAAAUUGCAUGUUCAUGGCACAUUUUGUAGGGAUGAACCGAAUGUUCAGCAACCGGAAUUAUUCAGCCGGACAAUGACGUUUUUGAUGACGCGAUCAAAUAGCAACCAGCGUAGAGUGAAAGGCACGCUUAACAAAUGCAGCGAACAUGUCGGCAGUGUGGAAGCUUUUUAGAGUGUCCGAGAAAGACGCAAAAAUGGCUGUUUGCGGACACUGCUCUGCUGAAUUGUCUAGAGAGGGUGCAUUUGAAAGGAGUUACAGAACAACAAGUUUAAUUUAUCAUUUAAAAUCAAGACACCCAGAACGGUGUGCAGAGUAUGAGAAAGACAUGGCGGAAAGGAAAGUUCCUCCUCCCAGAGUACUAGUCUGCUCCAUGCACAAGCACAGACAGCGAGAGACUGUUUAGCGCUGAAUCUCAUGUCCUCGAUGAGAAGAGGAACUGACUUUCAUGUGUGAAAGCAGAGAAGCUACUUUUCAUAUAGAAGAAGCUGCCACUUUUCCUGAAGAAGUAGGCUACGUCUAGGACGAUCAUUCAUUUGUUGUGGGUUCAUCCACUUUUUUUGCACUCUUUUCAAUGCACAUUUUUGUUGUAGACCUACAGAGGACGGUACAUUCUUUCAGCAGUCAGUUAUAGGCCUAAUAUAGGCUAUUCAAAAAGAGGGGCUCAAAAAUGGUCAAAUAAAAAUAUUUGUAUUUUACAAAUUUAUUCAUUGUAAGUUAUACUGUGCUUUGUUAAAAUAACGUUCACUGAAUGAUUAAAGAAUAUUCAGUGUUAAAUAAACGUUUAUAAAUUGUAGUUUUGUGAUUGAUUUUUUAUUUGAAAAGCAAGACAACAUUAAAAAAAAACCUGCAUUAGGUAUUCAGCCAAGUGUUUCAUUAAAUUUGGUUUCGGCUUCCCUAACUUGUUGACUAACCGUAUGGUUUAACAUUAUCUGUGCGCUAGCUGGGUCAAUGUAGGAAGGAGGAGUAGAAAAUCCUGCAGUUACACUCUUAAGCAUCAGUUUUAAGGGAUUAACGCAUUUCUUUGAUUAAUCAUGUGUUGAUAACUUUCACACCUUAUACAUUGGUUACACAUGAGCGAAUUAUACUUUGAUUAAAAUAUUCCAUAACGCCUGCCUUUAUUUUGUCCUAAUUGAUCAGCUAGUCAUUUAAAUUGUGUGCACAAUUGACAUAAAUAUAACUGUAUAUAAAAUCAUAGUUAUGCUAAUUAUUUUAUUUGUAGCCCAUCAAUUGAGGUUCACAUUAGUGAGUCUAUUUCUAUAUAAAUUUACACAAACUUGUCUUCACACAAUGAUUUGUAAAUAAAUGCGUUCAUAUCCAGCUUGAGAUACAGAAGCUAGGUGGAGACAUGCUGUGCAGUAGCCCUUGAAAAAUGUAUUCUGUGUGGAUCGGUUUAGGGAGGUUAUGCCUGCUUGUGAUCUGAAUACAUUCGAGGAAGAUAAUACUGUUGCUGUUAAUAAAUCGGAACUCUCUGCUCCAGUCAGAACAAACUGUCUUGCAAGUAUCGUUUUCUUGGACGCUGAAAAUUGACUGAUCUUCUACCAAUAAUCAUUUUAGAGAGAACAUGUUUAUAAGGAUACGCCUACAAUCAGCCCACCAGUAACACCAGACAACAGGGUAUGAAUAAAAAGGACAGAAUGGGUUUAGAUGAUAACAGGUAUCUUUAGAUGUGCACCUUCCGAGAGCUGUACUCACAAAAGGUGUUACUGUGAAUUCACACCUGCUAAGUCUCCUAAUUUCAACAACAACAGAAGAGGCUUGUACACAUCACAGCAAGCUCUUCAAUCCCGGCUCCUCACAGCUGGUUACUACAGAUUGCUCAUCAGAAGUGCAAGUGGCUCAUCAACAACAAGAAAAGAUUAAAGGCUUAUGUUCUUGUUGCAUGAUUCUUAUCCCCUCCCCCCUACGGAGAAUGUUAUUUUAAGAGUCAUAUUUCUCCCUCAGUCCUUCCUUCUUGCUAGGUCAUUUAACUAAUAGUUUAGACUUUUUGGUAGAGAAAUAUUAUACACAUAUAUAUUAUACACAUAUAUAU
ensembl:lncRNA